AAGAAAAGAAAAAAAAAGACAAAGGAAUUAAGAAAAAAAUAGUAUUGUUAUUUUUACAAUUUAACUUGUUCAUAUGAAUACGAGGGUUUGCUUGCUCUAAAACUCUGAAACCAAAACAAAAUCUGGAAAUGAGUAGUGAAACAAGGUGAAGAAGAAUAGCUCGAGCUUAAAACCCUACUAGUCGAAGAAUUAAUGGGUAAAAAGGAGAGGGCGCAAGAGAGAAGAGAGCAGAGACGCCAAGAGAUCUCUCUUCUCCGUACUAUUCCUUAUUCUGAUCAACAAAGAUGGUGGUCAAAUGAAACUAUCGCUGUCGUGACUGGUUCAAACAGAGGAAUUGGUUUUGAAAUUGCUCACCAACUGGCCUCACAUGGCUUAACAGUAGUUCUUACAUCACGAGAGACUCGUGUUGGUGAAGAAGCAACGAAAAUCAUGCAAGAAAAAGGUUUGAAUGUGGUAUUUCAUCAAUUGGAUAUUGUAGACCCUGUAUCAGUUGAAACAUUUUCUGACUGGAUAAAGGAAAACUAUGGUGGCUUAGAUAUACUGAUCAAUAAUGCAGGAGUCAAUUUCAAUUUCGG
rnacentral:misc_RNA from 1 species